rnacentral:rRNA from 1 species
ACGAUGUCGAUUUGGGGAUUGGGCUUUAAGCUUGGUGCCCGUAGCUAACGUGAUAAAUCGACGCCUGGGGAGUACGGCCGCAAGGUUAAAACUCAAAUGAAUUGACGGGGGCCCGCACAAGCGGUGGAGCAUGUGGUUUAAUUCGAUGCAACGCGAAGAACCUUACCUACUCUUGACAUCCAUGGAAUCUUGUAGAGAUACGAGAGUGCCUUCGGGAACCAUGAGACAGGUGCUGCAUGGCUGUCGUCAG